rnacentral:lncRNA from 1 species
GUGCGUGAGAAGGAAGUCCAUAUCCUUUCAAGAGAAAAAGAAAGAAAAGAAAAAAAAGUAGGGUGCAAGGUUUUCGGUGAGUUUCCUAGAGUUUUAGCCUGAGGUUCGGGAAGUGAGAAAGUGAGCUACGAGUGUCGUGAGCCCACAAAAUCUUAGAAAAAUCUUUAACAUCCUCUCAAGCAUGUCUAUUGAUGAUCUGGAGCAUCCAAAGAAUCGACAGACAUCGAU